rnacentral:misc_RNA from 1 species
AAGUCGUAACAAGGUCUCCGUUGGUGAACCAGCGGAGGGAUCAUUACCGAGUUUACAACUCCCAAACCCCUGUGAACCAUACCUGUCGUUGCUUCGGCGGCCACGCCCCGGUGCCCUCGUGCCCGGAACCAGGCGCCCGCCGGAGGCCAAAAAAACCAUGUUUACCACAGUGGCAUUAUCUGAGUGGCACAAGCAAAUAAAUCAAAACUUUCAACAACGGAUCUCUUGGUUCUG